CAGCAGCCACGGUAAUACGAAGGGGGCUAGCGUUGUUCGGAUUUACUGGGCGUAAAGCGCACGCAGGCGGUCUGUCAAGUCAGAUGUGAAAUCCCCGGGCUUAACCCGGGAACUGCAUUUGAAACUGGCAGGCUAGAGUCUUGUAGAGGGGGGUAGAAUUCCAGGUGUAGCAGUGAAAUGCGUAGAGAUGUGGAGGAAUACCGAUGGCGAAGGCAGCCCCCUGGGCCAAUACUGACGCUCAUGCACGAAAGCGUGGGGAGCAAACAGGAUUAGAUACCCGGGUAGUCCCUGUCUCUUAUAC
rnacentral:rRNA from 1 species